rnacentral:rRNA from 1 species
AGGACGAACGCUGGCGGCGUGCCUAACACAUGCAAGUCGAACGAGGUCCAUGUAGUGGCAACACUACGGAAGGCCUAGUGGCGAACGGGUGAGUAACACGUGAGGAACUUGCCCCGGAGACCGGGAUAACUCUUCGAAAGGGGGAGCUAAUACCGGAUGUUCUCACCGAGUCGCAUGGCUUGGUGAGAAAAUGGAUUCCGCUCCGGGAGAGCCUCGCGGCCUAUCAGCUAGUUGGAGGGGUAACGGCCCACCAAGGCAUCGACGGGUAGCUGGUCUGAGAGGACGAUCAGCCACACUGGGGACUGAGACACGGCCCAGACUCCUACGGGAGGCAGCAGUGGGGGAA